CUUCAGUGUCUAAAAAUAUAGAGUGAGCUGAUUUCCCUUUAUUUUCAGGAACGUCAGACUUACCUUCAAGGACAAUACACCAGUAGUAGUGCAAAGAAACACUAUUUCUAGCCCUAUAGUGUCCCUCUGCCACUGCGACCUCCCUUGCAGCAAUGAAAAUGCUAUAAACCCUUUAAUUCACGUAUCUGUUUCCAGUGCAAAGGUCCCUUGGCACUGGCUUUGUCUCUGCCUCCUAUGACAUCAGCACGAGGAGCAGCAAUUUGCAAGACGAU